rnacentral:rRNA from 1 species
AUGAAUCAUAUUCUCAUACGGAAUUGCAGAAGUGUCGGAUGCUUGUCUGUUGGUAGUUUCACAUCUGUUAAAUGUUUGUCGCUGGAGUGCUUGCCAGACUUAUGUGUGCUCGAAGGAUUGUCUUCCCUGCAACUUGACCAUUUAAGUUUGAUUGAUGUUCCAAAGCUCACCCCCGAGUGUAUCUCACAGUUUCGAGUCCAGGACUCACUUCAUGUUAGCAGUCCUGUAAUACUCAACGACAUGCUCUUGGCUGAAGCUCCCACAGUUCCAGCACAUCUCACUCUUGAAGGAAGCAAGGAACCAUUCAUUUCAUUCAAAGAACCCGCAAAUUUCUCAUCCGUGAGGACACUGACGUUCCAGGAUUGUCAAAUGAUUUCCCUGCCAACAAAUCUGAAGUGCUUCUCCAAUCUGAAGAGUCUCGACAUCUGGGACUGCCCCAACAUAUCAUCUUUACCAGACCUGCCAUCCUCCCUCCAGCGGAUACGUGUAUCGGGUUGUUCUGAGCUAUUGGUGGAGAGCUGUCGAGCACCUGAUGGAGAAAGUUGGCCAAAGAUCGCGCAUAUCCGCCGGAAGGAAUUUGAAUAA